UACGUAGGGUGCAAGCGUUAUCCGGAAUCACUGGGCGUAAAGCGUGCGUAGGUGGAUGUUUAAGUGAGAUGUUAAAUCGUGUGGCUCAACCAUAUCGAUGCAUCUCAUACUGGACGUCUAGAGGACAGCAGAGGCAAGUGGAAUUUGUAGUGUAGCAGUGAAAUGCGUAGAUAUUACAAGGAACACCAAUGGCGAAGGCAGCUUGCCAGAAUGCGCUCGACGGUGAGGGAUGAAAGCUGGGGGAGCAAACCGG
rnacentral:rRNA from 1 species